rnacentral:rRNA from 1 species
GGAGGGGGAUAACUACUGGAAACGGUAGCUAAUACCGCGUAACGUCGCAAGACCAAAGAGGGGGACCUUAGGGCCUCUUGCCAUCGGAUGUGCCCAGAUGGGAUUAGUUUGUAGGUGAGGUAACGGCUCACCUAGGCGACGAUCCCUAGCUGGUCUGAGAGGAUGACCAGCCACACUGGAACUGAGACACGGUCCAGACUCCUACGGGAGGCAGCAGUGGGGAAUAUUGCACAAUGGGCGCAAGCCUGAUGCAGCCAUGCCGCGUGUAUGAAGAAGGCCUUCGGGUUGUAAAGUACUUUCAGCGGGGAGGAAGGGAGUGAGGUUAAUAACCUUAUUCAUUGACGUUACCCGCAGAAGAAGCACCGGCUAACUCCGUGCCAGCAGCCGCGGUAAUACGGAGGGUGCAAGCGUUAAUCGGAAUUACUGGGCGUAAAGCGCACGCAGGCGGUCUGUCAAGUCGGAUGUGAAAUCCCCGGGCUCAACCUGGGAACUGCAUUCGAAACUGGCAGGCUGGAGUCUUGUAGAGGGGGGUAGAAUUCCAGGUGUAGCGGUGAAAUGCGUAGAGAUCUGGAGGAAUACCGGUGGCGAAGGCGGCCCCCUGGACAAAGACUGACGCUCAGGUGCGAAAGCGUGGGGAGCAACCAGGAUUAGAUACCCUGGUAGUCCACGCUGUAAACGAUGUCGACUUGGAGGUUGUUCCCUUGAGGAGUGGCUUCCGGAGCUA